CGGUGCAAGGUGUGGCCUUCACGCUUAUUGCCCAUCGCUUUCACAUUGACGUGUGCCUCUGCUGCUGCUGUAGUGUCCGCAUCUCUCAUCUUUUUUUUGCGUUGCUUGUAAGGCACUUAUAUCCGCCUUUGAAGUGCGCCUACGUUUUGCAUGUGUGUGUGUAUGCAUUGUGUGUUUUGGUGCUCUUCGCUAAUAAUAAGUCUCAUCCCCUUCAUGCGCGACGUGCGUCUGAACACGCGUUCACGCACGUGCGUUUUGGCGUGCUCAGACUUCUGUCUCCGUUUUUCGCUGUUCGCUUUACAGUAUAUUGCACAUAUAUAUAUGUGCUAUUUAUAAUAAUAAUAUAUAUACACCUAUAUGUAUUUAUUUAUAUAUAUAUAUUUUUUUUGGUUUUGCUGAUCGUUUUAUCGUCGGAGCGAAACGCUGUGCAUCAACGAGCAGCGUCUGACAUCUACCGCGAUAGGACACAGGUGAGAGAAGCGAGAAAGAAUAUUCCCACAAGAGCCUCACCGGGUUCUACGAAGUUGUGCUUUCAAGUAGGAUGAACGCGGCGACUGUGAUGAUGGCGCGCGGCCCGGUCACCCCACACCGCCGCCUUAGUAGAUGCACCAGCGCGCUCUGUUGUGCCAUCGCGAUCGCACUGUUUUGUGCUCUUUGUUGCGAAGUCAGCGCGCUGGAGGUGGGCAAGUUUUUUCCCGCCAAGACGCGCAUGAGCGCGAAGGAUCGUUACGAAUCUGUUCUGGCGCUGCAGUCUCUGCAGCGCGCGAUCGACGACCCUGAGCUGCAAAAGGAGGUAGAGUCCGCGCUCAAGGACACAACGAGGGGCUUCGACAUGUGCCGAUCGGCGCUGUACCGCUGCAACCGCGUGACCGGCGCUCUCGAGGAGGCGGUCAUCGAGGGCAUGCGAGACGGAACUGUGAAGUGGGACGAGUAUCCCAAGUCGGUGAAGCGGAUCCGCAUCACGGACUCGAGGCUGAGGCAGCCACUCGUGCUCUCCAGCUUACCUGCGAACCUUGAGGAAUUCGUGGCAACGAACGUGGAGUGGGAGUCCGACUCGAUUCUUCAGGCCCCAGGGAGUGGCGAGGGGGGAGUUGUGAAGGGGCCCUUGGCUCAUCUUCGCGUUUUGCAAUGUGACAACUGCGCUCUCGUGAAGGCAGAGGUGACGACGACGACACCCCAGCUGGAGUGGCUGCAGGUGUUGAGCCUUUCCGGCAAUCCAGACUUGUUCAUCGAUCUCCGCGAGCUGCCGCGCAACCUCCAAUCUCUGCAGCUCUCGUACACACAGCUGGCUCACUCCACGGUCAGGGAGGUAUUGGAGACUGCGCCGGCGUUUCUCUCGCUGCUGAAUAUCAGCUUCACCGGUGUUGCUCUGACCCUCGACAUGCUGCCGUCUGCACGGAAUCAGCUGAAGGCGUUGGAUGUGUCCGGCCUGGAAAGCAACAACCCGGGGUCACCUCUGUCUCUCUCUCAGCUGCAAAGCGCGUGUGGCGAAAGUGGCUUCAGCCUCGCAGAACUGUACCUCACCAGGUGCAGCCUGACGGGCACCCUCCCUCACCUUCGUAACUGCACGAAGCUGAAGGUGAUGGAUGUGUCGCACAACCUCCUCGAUGGCGCCGUGUUCGCUCAACUCCCCGAGAACAUAGAGUUGCUGCGUCUCAACAACAAUGCGAUACAGGGUGGCCUGCGCACCAGCGAACUCCCGCGCACUCUGCGCUCCCUUGAUCUUUCUGAAAACCAUUUCACGGGUGAGGUCGACCUCUCGGCACUGCCGCCGCAGCUGCAGUACCUCAACAUUGGCCACAAUCACUUCAGCGGCCAGGUGAACCUCACGCAGCUACCCGAGUCUGUCAAGUUUGUGCACAUGGAGUAUAACAACUUCACCGGCGCGGCUGACCUCGUCGACCUCCCACUCGGCAUCCGUUUUAUCAUGGUCCACCACAACAACUGGGACUACCUCAUGCCCGCCCCGUGAGAUGGGCCAGCACCAUUUAAGGCGAAAAAGCCGGCGGAAGGGUGCGGCGUUCUUAUUGUGGUGCUCGUGGUGGCAGCCUCAGCUCUCCGUCUUGCUCACCCUCUGCAUCUGAGCCGUUCACCUCCGUCUUCGUCUCUCUCUUUCUCCCCAUGCCAGUGCGCACGUACGUAUCUGCUUUUGGUGGUGAUUAAGCGCGGGGGUGGCGUAGCCAGGCGGUGGCGGCAGGGUUGGGGGGCAUCAAGUCAACAUUGUGCCUGGUUUAUGAGCAGCGAGCACCUUUGGGCUGUAGCACGUGUUGAGGAGAGUAAUAUCCAGCGCAUUCUUGUGUGACUAUCAUUUCGUGCGCCAUGUUACCUUCUCCUGCUCGCCCUUUUUUUUCCUAACACCAUUCGGUUACUUUUUUUCUGCUGCUUUUAG
rnacentral:misc_RNA from 1 species